GGGCCAUUAGCUCAGCCGGCAGAGCACUUGACUUUUAAUCAAGGUGUCCGGAGUUCGAAUCUCCGAUGGCUCA
rnacentral:tRNA from 1 species